ACAGAAAGCAGAUCACGAGGAGGAGAAGGUGUGUCAGCUGAGUGCUUCAGGCUUCUGAAGGCACUGAUCAGGAACUGAGGGCCUGAACUUUGACUGCUGCUCCCCAGCUCUUACAGAGACAUGGCAAUGUUUGCUGUGGGUACCAGGCCUGAAAUAUCAGCAGUGAUGUUGUGUGAGGAAAGGAAUAUGUGCAAAACCUUGACUCGUCAUUCAUCAGUGGAGCUGUUAUCAACAGAAACUUUUCAGUAUAUAUCAAAUGAUAGUGGAGACAGAAGCGAGGAAGAUAAAAUGCUCAACAUCAUUAUUUUCCUACUGAAUCUAGCAGCUUUGCAAACAGUCAAAAUGGAAUCAGGCUGAUAAGAGCUCUUAACUGGAAAGGGAUGAGAUGGGGGUUAAUGCAGAAGAGAAUAUACCUAGAGUAUGACAAAAUAUUAGCAAGAUUCUUCUAAGCUGCAGUGCAGAGGUGAGCUCUGUGUUUCUUUGUUGUCUAACCAAUUUUCUUUCACUUUUACACCAAAUCCAUAAUUCCUGUGCUGCCCAACUGACCUGAACAUUUUGUCUGUGCCUUUCAGUUUGCAAAACUUGACUGACAGCUCAGUGUGAUGAAUGGGAGCAAUUCCCUUAUAUUUACUUCUGAAGAAAAAGUUAGUAAUAUUGUGACAAAUUACUAUGCUGAGUUACACUGCACUCCCUCAGAGAGGUGUAAGGUGGUAAUUUGGGACAGGUCAGUGCUGAUGUCCCUACAGAGGGGCAUUACGUUCCUGCACCAGUAAAAAGGAUGAUAGAAGUAAAAAUAGUGCUUAGGUUAAAGCAGCGCUCUCUCCUGCUUUGCUUUUGUACCAGAUAUUCUUGGUUUUUAAAGACGUUCUUCAGCAUUUUGCACAUCUCGAGAACGCUCGGUAGCUGCCGAAGGCGCAGCCUGGAGCGCUGUUCCAGGCCGCAGUGGCAUGAGCUGCCUGAGGAUCUGAGUCACGUACCUUGGGGCAAUCACGAUAUCGCCUUAAUCAGCCCUGCUGCUUGAUCUCUGCCGUGCAUCCCUAUUGCCAUGACAGCAAAGAGGCUGGCCCUCAAUCCCGCCUCCCUGAACGAGUGAGAGGAACGGUAUCUCCUGCGGUAGAGUCCCGUCUCUGUCCGGUCCCUGAGUGAAAGGAACGGUAUCUCCUGCGGUGCAGUUCCACCUCUGUUCCAGCACAGGCAGCGGAGCGGGAACACCCGGCUCCUUACACCACACUGCAGGAAAUGUGCCUGUGCUGUCGGCUGGCAGAAGGCAAGAGCAGGACCACGCUGCCCAAGGAAUCUCUUGGCAUCCUCAUGCCAAGCACUCUGGGUAUUUCAAGAGGUCCCCUCCAGGUGUGGGUUUGAUAUGUGCUUUGAUGUUUGUAUGCAGUUCUG